AGAGUUUGAUCCUGGCUCAGGAUGAACGCUGGCGGCGUGCCUAAUACAUGCAAGUCGAGCGAACGGACGAGAAGCUUGCUUCUCUGAUGUUAGCGGCGGACGGGUGAGUAACACGUGGAUAACCUACCUAUAAGACUGGGAUAACUUCGGGAAACCGGAGCUAAUACCGGAUAAUAUUUUGAACCGCAUGGUUCAAAAGUGAAAGACGGUCUUGCUGUCACUUAUAGAUGGAUCCGCGCUGCAUUAGCUAGUUGGUAAGGUAACGGCUUACCAAGGCAACGAUGCAUAGCCGACCUGAGAGGGUGAUCGGCCACACUGGAACUGAGACACGGUCCAGACUCCUACGGGAGGCAGUAGUAGGGAAUCUUCCGCAAUGGGCGAAAGCCUGACGGAGCAACGCCGCGUGAGUGAUGAAGGUCUUCGGAUCGUAAAACUCUGUUAUUAGGGAAGAACAUAUGUGUAAGUAACUGUGCACAUCUUGACGGUACCUAAUCAGAAAGCCACGGCUAACUACGUGCCAGCAGCCGCGGUAAUACGUAGGUGGCAAGCGUUAUCCGGAAUUAUUGGGCGUAAAGCGCGCGUAGGCGGUUUUUUAAGUCUGAUGUGAAAGCCCACGGCUCAACCGUGGAGGGUCAUUGGAAACUGGAAAACUUGAGUGCAGAAGAGGAAAGUGGAAUUCCAUGUGUAGCGGUGAAAUGCGCAGAGAUAUGGAGGAACACCAGUGGCGAAGGCGACUUUCUGGUCUGUAACUGACGCUGAUGUGCGAAAGCGUGGGGAUCAAACAGGAUUAGAUACCCUGGUAGUCCACGCCGUAAACGAUGAGUGCUAAGUGUUAGGGGGUUUCCGCCCCUUAGUGCUGCAGCUAACGCAUUAAGCACUCCGCCUGGGGAGUACGACCGCAAGGUUGAAACUCAAAGGAAUUGACGGGGACCCGCACAAGCGGUGGAGCAUGUGGUUUAAUUCGAAGCAACGCGAAGAACCUUACCAAAUCUUGACAUCCUUUGACAACUCUAGAGAUAGAGCCUUCCCCUUCGGGGGACAAAGUGACAGGUGGUGCAUGGUUGUCGUCAGCUCGUGUCGUGAGAUGUUGGGUUAAGUCCCGCAACGAGCGCAACCCUUAAGCUUAGUUGCCAUCAUUAAGUUGGGCACUCUAAGUUGACUGCCGGUGACAAACCGGAGGAAGGUGGGGAUGACGUCAAAUCAUCAUGCCCCUUAUGAUUUGGGCUACACACGUGCUACAAUGGACAAUACAAAGGGCAGCGAAACCGCGAGGUCAAGCAAAUCCCAUAAAGUUGUUCUCAGUUCGGAUUGUAGUCUGCAACUCGACUACAUGAAGCUGGAAUCGCUAGUAAUCGUAGAUCAGCAUGCUACGGUGAAUACGUUCCCGGGUCUUGUACACACCGCCCGUCACACCACGAGAGUUUGUAACACCCGAAGCCGGUGGAGUAACCUUUUAGGAGCUAGCCGUCGAAGGUGGGACAAAUGAUUGGGGUGAAGUCGUAACAAGGUAGCCGUAUCGGAAGGUGCGGCUGGAUCACCU
rnacentral:rRNA from 1 species